rnacentral:tRNA from 1 species
GCGGUGUUGGCGGAAUUGGUAGACGCUAUCGCAAGGUUGUCGUAAGACAUACAGGUUCAAGUCCUGUACACCGUACCA